GGUUCGGGAGCUUAGUUGGUAAAGCGCUCGUCUAGCAUACAAGAGUCCUGGGUUCGAAUCCCAGCCGAGCAC
rnacentral:tRNA from 1 species